rnacentral:rRNA from 1 species
CUUGGUGUUACUGCGAAGGGGGGACGGAGAAGGCUAUGUUGGCCGGGCGACGGUUGUCCCGGUUUAAGCGUGUAGGCUGGUUUUCCAGGCAAAUCCGGAAAAUCAAGGCUGAGGCGUGAUGACGAGGCACUGCGGUGCUGAAGCAACAAAUGCCCUGCUUCCAGGAAAAGCCUCUAAGCAUCAGGUAACAUCAAAUCGUACCCCAA